AUUACCACGUUAAUCAGUAAUUAGGAGCCGUUAAUCUGGUGGGACCGAAUUAUAACGGUGUAGAUUAACCAGUCUAUUUUAAGCCCUUUAGUAAAAUACGCAAUGCAAUCUACGUUAAUCUUUGUCCCAAUUCUGUGUAGGUCAUGUCAAAAAAAUCUGUGUAGGUCACGACCUCCCCAUCUCCUUAAAAAAAAUUCUUUCUAAAGCCCACAGUCUUUGACGGUUGUAAACGUAGAAUACAUGGAAGACUCGAUCCUAAUCUAGAUCGUAUUGCCUAGGUCACAAACUCCCCAUCUCCUUCCCCUAAAAAAACUGCCCAUCUCCUUCCCCUAAAAACGAACUCCCCAUCGCCUCAUCUCAGAAAAUAAAAAACCCUCUCACACACGCCGCCGCCGCAGCAGAAGCAGCCGCCGUGUUCGCCUCGCUGCAUACAGCUGGUCGAUCAUAGCAAUCUUUCCAUAUGCUUAAUACCCUCAUGCCUUCAAACUUUCCAAGCGCUUAAUCCCCUCAUGCGUUCAAACUUUAUCCGUGCAAUUUCCCGGAUCUUCGUUUCUCUUUGUGUUGUGGCGGCCGUUGUGCGAGUCAACGUGCUUGAGCGCGUCAGGUUCGGUUUCAAGGUGCAGUGAUGGAGUAUGAUGCUAUUGGCUUGCUGCCUACUUCUAGGCUUGGUUUGGGGCUCCUUCAAGUCUUGAUCCAUGGCUA